rnacentral:rRNA from 1 species
AUGGCCAGGAGAGAACGGCUGAUCCAAGCGACGGUGACCCUACUAGUCCUAGCGACGUGGUUAUGCCAGAGCUCGUCGGCCGUAGCCGUGCCUGCGCCGCCGCCACCACAACCACACCCAAAAAACAUCACAUGCGUCCCCGGCGAGCGGGAUGCGCUUCUCGCCUUCAAGGCCGGCCUCACCGACCCGAACAACUACCUUUCGUCAUGGCGGGUCGAGGAGGACUGCUGCUGGUGGACGGGUGUCGAGUGCAGCUACCGGAUCGAUCACGUUGUCAGCCUUCAUGUCAACAGCGAUACCGACUUGUAUGGUGAAAUCAUGCCCGGAGCCAUUGGAGGUCAGAUAAGCUCCUCCUUGCUCACUCUACGACAUCUCAAGUACCUGGACCUCUCGUACAACAAUUUCAGUGGUAGUCCCAUCCCGGAGUUCAUCGGGGGUCUUAGGAGCCUUAAACAUCUCGCCCUCACCAGCUCGUCUUUCGAUGGGCGAAUCCCUCCCCACCUCGGGAACCUCUCCAAUCUAGUCAGCCUUGACCUCUCAUUUCAGUCACAUGGUUUUUGCUCGCCUGAUCUCGCAUGGUUGUCGCGCCUGCGGAAGCUACAAUAUCUCAACAUAUCUGAGGUGGACCUCAGCGCUAACGUUAACUGGACUCAUGUUGUCAACAUGCUCCCCUCCUUGAUAACCCUUGAACUAGCUGCUUGUGGGCUCCAAAACACUAUGACAUUGCCGUUGCACUCCAACCUCACAUCAUUAGAUACACUCGACCUCGAGUCCAACUCAUUUAACUCAUCCUUUGGAGCCAACUACUUGGCUUGGGAUCUACCUAUGCUCACAUACCUUGAUCUGAGUAACUGCGGGAUCCAGGGUGGCGAUGUGGGAAACCUGACCUCCAUUCAAUUGUUGAGCCUUAGCAGAAACAACUUCUCCCGCAUGGUGCCAUCGACCUUCAAGAAACUAAAGAAACUACAACUGCUCCAACUAUCAGAGAACUUCAUUAGUGGGGACAUAGAAGACCUAUUUCAUAGACUGCCAACAAAUGAGUUACAAGAGUUGGACUUGGACUGUAACAAUCUGAGAGGGAGGCUUCCAGAUCGGCUAGAGCAAUUUAGCAGCUUGCUCAUACUUAAACUCAGUAAUAACAAACUAUCCGGAGAGAUACCUGUUGGAGAAUUCCCAACCUUUCUUCAGAGGUGUAAAGAGCUAAAAUUCCUUGAUCUCGCAUCCAAUAAAUUUACUGGGAGUUUACCAACAUGGAUUUGGUCAAAGAUACCAUCCUUAGCAUUUCUGAGGCUGCGGUCAAACAUGCUCACUGGUGGCAUCCCUGAUGAACUCACCAAGAUGAAGGGGCUUCAAUAUUUAGACAUUUCAAACAACAAUAUCUCAGGGAAGAUACCACUAUCACUUGGGAAUCUCAUAGCUAUGGCUCAUAGUCCCAAUAAGCAAGGCACACUUUUCAAAACUGUCAACUUUUUUGUGGUCGUCUCCAUCUACAAGAACCCUCAUGCUUAUACCGAUAGUCUAUGGGUGGUCACAAAAGGCCAGCAACUAGAAUACACAACAGGAAUCGUGUACAUGGUAAACAUUGACUUUUCUUGCAACAAUUUAACAGGGCAGAUUCCUCAUGAAAUCGGCAUGCUCGUCGCAUUGAAAAACUUGAACUUGUCUUGGAAUCAUCUCAGCAGCGCAAUUCCUCAAACGAUUGGUGAGCUACGGGCAGUGGAAUCUUUGGAUCUCUCACAUAAUGAGCUCUCUCGUGAAAUCCCUAUAACUUUAGCGGAUCUAACAUCACUGGCACACUUGAACCUGUCAUACAACAAUUUGACAGGAACCAUACCAUUUGGAAAUCAGUUAAGAACUCUGGACGACCAGCCAUCCAUCUACAUUGGUAACCCAGGUCUAUGUGGUCCACCUGUCUCAAGGAACUGUUCACAAACUGAAACCACUACACCGGCUCCUGAAGACUAG